GAGACAGCAGUAGCCGCGCGGUAAUACAGAGGGUGCGAGCGUUAAUCGGAUUUACUGGGCGUAAAGCGUGCGUAGGCGGCUUUUUAAGUCGGAUGUGAAAUCCCUGAGCUUAACUUAGGAAUUGCAUUCGAUACUGGGAAGCUAGAGUAUGGGAGAGGAUGGUAGAAUUCCAGGUGUAGCGGUGAAAUGCGUAGAGAUCUGGAGGAAUACCGAUGGCGAAGGCAGCCAUCUGGCCUAAUACUGACGCUGAGGUACGAAAGCAUGGGGAGCAAACAGGAUUAGAUACCCCUGUAGUCCCUGUCUCUUAU
rnacentral:rRNA from 1 species